rnacentral:rRNA from 1 species
ACGUAGGGUGCGAGCGUUAAUCGGAAUUACUGGGCGUAAAGCGUGCGCAGGCGGAUUGUUAAGCAGGACGCGAAAUCCCCGGGCUUAACCUGGGAAUGGCGCUUGUGACUGGCGGGCUGGAGUACGGCAGAGGGGGGUGGAAUUCCACGUGUAGCGGUGAAAUGCGUAGAGAUGUGGAGGAACACCGAUGGCGAAGGCAGCCCCCUGGGCCGAUACUGACGCUCAUGCACGAAAGCGUGGGGAGCAAACAG